AAGUCGUAACAAGGUAACCGUAGGUGAACCUGCGGUUGGAUCAUUAUUGAAAAAUAAUAUCAUUUUUUUUUAAAUAGGAAAGUGCCUAUGAACCUCUAAAAGGGGAUAGUAGGUCUUCCUAUUCAAAAAAAAAAUAUCAACCUAAACCUUGUGAAAUGAUAUAAUCAUGUCUUUGGAGUCACUUAUUGUAUUAUGAAAGGUCUUAACAACUUUUCUUUUAAUACAAAGAUGAGGACUCCUACUUAUAAACUUAUUUUUAAUAUACUUAUUCUUUUAAUACUAAAAAAAACGAAUAGCCAAUAAGGAGAAAUCUUUUAUUUGUACUAAUCGUUUUUGAAAGUUAUAAUAACAAAUAACUAGUAAAAAACUUUUGACAAUGGAUCUCUUGGCUCUC
rnacentral:misc_RNA from 1 species